rnacentral:rRNA from 1 species
GAUGAACGCUGGCGGCGUGCUUAACACAUGCAAGUCGAACGAAGCACCUUGAUUCGAUUCUUCGGAUGAAGAUCUUGGUGACUGAGUGGCGGACGGGUGAGUAACGCGUGGGUAACCUGCCUCAUACAGGGGGAUAACAGUUAGAAAUGACUGCUAAUACCGCAUAAGACCACAGCACCGCAUGGUGCAGGGGUAAAAACUCCGGUGGUAUGAGAUGGACCCGCGUCUGAUUAGGUAGUUGGUGGGGUAACGGCCUACCAAGCCGACGAUCAGUAGCCGACCUGAGAGGGUGACCGGCCACAUUGGGACUGAGACACGGCACAAACUCCUACGGGAGGCAGCAGUGGGGAAUAUUGCACAAUGGGGGAAACCCUGAUGCAGCGACGCCGCGUGAGCGAUGAAGUAUUUCGGUAUGUAAAGCUCUAUCAGCAGGGAAGAAAAUGACGGUACCUGACUAAGAAGCACCGGCUAAAUACGUGC